rnacentral:rRNA from 1 species
UACGGAGGGGGCAAGCGUUAUUCGGAAUUAUUGGGCGUAAAGGGCGCGUAGGCGGCUAGAUGUGUCAAAGGUGAAAUCCCUCGGCUCAACUGAGGAACUGCCUUUGAAACUGUCUGGCUUGAGGCCGGGAGAGGGUAGCGGAAUUCCCAGUGUAGCGGUGAAAUGCGUAGAUAUUGGGAGGAACACCAGUGGCGAAGGCGGCUACCUGGACCGGUUCUGACGCUGAGGCGCGAAAGCGUAGGUAGCAAACAGG